rnacentral:misc_RNA from 1 species
AAAGUCGUAACAAGGUUUCCGUAGGUGAACCUGCGGAAGGAUCAUUACCCUUCGUCAGAGGGUGGGAUACAGUGUUUGCGGCUCUUGUUGCACUCGCUGUCCCCGCCCUUUCUGAUUUCACCCAUGUCUUUUGCGUACUAUUUGUUUCCUUGGUGGGCUCGCCCGCCAACAGGACACUAUAACACCUUUGUAAUUGCAGUCAGCGUCAGAAAAACGUAAUUAUUACAACUUUCAACAACGGAUCUCUUGGUUCUG